CUUCAGCUUACUGCUUUUUGGCUGCUUCUUGAGGCUUCAAGCUCCAAAAAUACCCAUGUCUAAGACAACCCCCAACAGAACUCCAGGGGACCUUGGCAAGACUUCCCAGCCAUCCCUACUGCCCAGACAAGCUGCCAUACUCGCUGACAGUGGAUUAGGGAACUACCUGUGAUGUCUUCCUAUCCUCAGCCCAACUUGGUCAGAUCGACAGUGGUUUUUCUAGCUCCCCCGAAGAGCUCGCAUUUCUGAAGACAAGACAAACAGAUUUUUGAUUAGAAGAGUCAAUUCCAUUUAUUGGAGGGGAAUAAAGUCAUGUUACUUUUCACAAACGGGUGGUAUCACCUUGCCCCUUACAUGUGAAAGGACCAAUGCAGUAGUUUGUGCAAAAUGAGUUGGAGUGGCAUAGGGUCUGUGAACAAGCGGCGUACUCACCUUCUCUUCUGAUUUCCACACCCACUACCCUUGUGGAGGUAGUGGAGGCUUAUGAAGGAGUCUUUCUGCCCUCAUGUGGUCUCUGUUCCCCAAAUGGUAUUUUCUACAUGGAUGUCUUCCUUGGGGCAGGGAAGAAGAACCAGCUAGUGACUCAGUGACUGCUGAAUCUUUGAUUCAUAUACCUUAUGGGGCUGCUUUUCAGAUGAUGGCUCAGGCCCAAUGGAAUCCCUGGUAAGUGGGAGGCUAAAAUAGCUUCCAUUUCACCUGACAUUUGUCCACUGAGUGAGGCCUACACUAUCCUGGUACACUGCAGGAGUCACACCACUGAUAUGGGCAGGGAUAGCAAAUUACUGUGGGCACCUCAGGUUGUCUUUUCUAAGGAAGACUUUCUCCUACUGCCUAAGAGCCUCUAGUCUUGGGACUCUAUUUCCCGAUGUAUAAAUUACCUCUGUCAUCUAAAAUAAACGAUCUUGCAGUUGUGAAGUUAUCUGUUUCCUGUUACUUUUUCUUGUGAUCACUGAACUUCUGCUUUCCUCUCUCUUCACAAGAAAUUUUUUAGAAUUGGAGACAAAACCAAGAAGAGGAAACCUUUGUAACCCUUCCUCACAGAAGAAUGUAUUUUUUGGUGAUCCUGACUUUUCUAGGACGAAUUACUGGUGAGACUUUCUUUCAUCAUUAUGAAAAUGGAAAUUUCACACUUACGUGCAAUGAAACAGUGGCUAAUGGGAAGAAGGAAACAGUUUGGUAUGAAACUGAAGAAACUCUGCAAAAAUUCCAAGUAAUCAAAUGCAGUAAUCAACAGCCCAAAGUAAUCAACGGACCAAACAAAUGCUCUGAUAAAACAAAGUGUACAAACCAAUUAUCAAAUUCUGCUUCCAGAGGUGGUGGGGUAUUUGCAUGUGAGCAAUUUACAAAUACUGGAACAUCACAGACUUGCCCACUUUUUACCAAUGUGACUCACUGCAGACAUUAUAACUUUUUUAUUGUGGUGAUAAUAAACCUGACUGCAGAUAAGGAGACAUUUGAGACCAUUCCUGCAAAAUCACACAAUAAUCAGUUAGUACAAGAAGAAAGUAACAUCACUCUCUCUUGUGAAUUUCAAAUGAAGCGCUCAGGACAACCAUUUAUUAUAUAUUGGAUCAAAUAUACAGAAACAAGCAAAUGCCUGAUUUCUGUUGAGAGAGAGCUAUAUACUUUCUCAUAUAAUACACAUUGCUGUAUUGAUGAGAUGAUCAAAGGACGACUAUUGAACUAUACAAGCUUAGAUUCAGACAAGACACAUGUAGUCCAUAAUAUGACCAUCUUGAAUGUUACUGACUCUGACAGUGGAACUUAUUUAUGUGUUGUAAAUGCCUGGUCAAGAGGUAAACAUGUGUGGAAGAUUGCAAAUAACCUUUCUAUAGAA